UCCGAUCCGACUAAAGUGGGAGAGACUGGCACCCGCUAACCACCUUAUGCAACAAGUGCAUGUCAGUCGGUGGAACCUAUCUCACGUAAGAGUACGUGUAAGGUCGGUCUGGGCCGCUUCAUCCCAUAAUACCGUCGAAACAAGAUUGGACUAGUAGCGGUAAGCAUAUUGAACAAAAUCAACGCCCACAACAACUUGUGUUCUACUCGUGCAUAGAAACUACACAUAGACCUGGCUCAUGAUGCCACUGUUGGGGAACGUAGCAGAAAUUCAAAAUUUUCUAUGCAUCACCAAGAUUAAUCUAUGGAGUAAUCUAGCAAUGAGGGAAAGGGGAGUGCAUCUACAUACCCUUGUAGAUCGCUAAGCGGAAGCGUUCAAGUGAACGGGGUUGAUGGAGUCGUACUCGUCGUAAUCCAAAUCACUGAUGAUCCUAGUGCCAAACGGACGACACCUCCGCGUUCAACACACAUGCAGCCCGGUGACGUCUCCCAUACCUUGAUCCAGUAAGGAGAGAGGGAGAGGUUGGGGACGACUCCGUCCAGCAGCAGCACGACAGCGUGGUGGUGGUGGAGGAGCGUGGCACUCCAGCAGGGCUUUGCCAAGCACCGCAAGAGACGAGGAGGGAGAGAGGUAGGGUUGCGCCAAGGAGAGGCCAAAACUCAUGUGUUUGCAGCCGCAAAGACCUCAACUAUAUAUAGGGGAGAGGGAGGGGGCUGCUCCCCCUCUAGGGUUCCCACCCCAAGGGGUGCGGCAGCCCCAAAACCCAUCUAGGGUGGCGGCCAAGGGGGGGAGAGGGGGAAACUUGCCCCCCAAGUAAGGUGGAGGCGCCCCCUCCCCAAACCCUAGGCGCCUUGGGCCCUGGUGGGGGGGCGCACCCGCCCACCUGGGGCUGGUCCCCUCCCACACCUGGCCCAUGCUGCCCUCUGGGCCGGUGGCCCCACUUGGUGGACCCUCGGGACCCUCCCGGUGGUCCCGGUACAUUACCGAUAGCACCCGAAACUUUUCUGGUGACCAAAACAGGACUUCCCAUAUAUAAAUCUUUACCUCCGGACCAUUCCGGAACUCCUCGUGGCGUCCGGUAUCUCAUCCGGGACUCCAAACAACAUUCGGUAACCACGUAUAUCUAUUCCCCAUAACCCUAGCGUCAUCGAACCUUAAGUGUGUAGACCCUACGGGUUCGGGAGACACGUAGACAUGACCGAGACAACUCUCCAGCCAAUAACCAACAGUGGGAUCUUGAUACCCAUGUUGGCUCCCACAUGUUCCACGAUGAUCUCAUCGGAUGAACCACGAUGUCGAGGAUUAAAUCAAUCCCGUAUUCAAUUCCCUUUGUCUAGCGGUAUAGUACUUGCCCGAGAUUCGAUCGUCGGUAUCCCGAUACCUUGUUCAAUCUCGUUACCGGCAAGUCUCUUUACUCGUUCUGUAACACAUCAUCCCGUGAUCAACCCCUUGGUCACAUUGUGCACAUUUUGAUGAUGUCUACCGAGUGGGCCCAGAGAUACCUCUCCGUCACACGGAGUGACAAAUCCCAGUCUCGAUUCGUGCCAACCCAACAGACACUUUCGGAGAUACCCAUAGUGCACCUUUAUAACCACCCAGUUACGUUGUGACGUUUGGUACACCCAAAGCAUUCCUACGGUAUCCGGGAGUUGCACAAUCUCAUGGUCUAAGGAAAUGAUACUUGACAUUAGAAAAGCUAUAGCAUACGAACUACACGAUCUUUGUGCUAGGCUUAGGAUUGGGUCUUGUCCAUCACAUCAUUCUCCUAAUGAUGUGAUCCCAUUAUCAACGACAUCCAAUGUCCAUGGUCAGGAAACCGUAACCAUCUAUUGAUCAACGAGCUAGUCAACUAGAGGCUCACUAGGGACAUAGUGUUGUCUAUGUAUCCACACAUGUAUCUGAGUUUCCUGUCAAUACAAUUAUAGCAUGGAUAAUAAACGAUUAUCAUGAACAAGGAAAUAUAGUAAUAAUAACUAAUUUAUUGUUGCCUCUAGGGCAUAUUUCCAACACACCCCGGGUGCCCAGCCGCGUCGCCACCGGGUGCCCGGCCACUGCCUGGGCGUCGCCCCAGCCUAGCCCGGGUGCCCGGCCCCAAGGCCCCGGGUGCCCGGCCUCUCGCCCAGCCGCGCCUGGGCCACACCCAGGAUGGCCAACCACUUGGGCCCGGGUGCCCGGCCCCCUGCCUGAGCCGGCCCAGCUCGCCCCGGGUGCCCGGGCUCUCACCCCCCGGGUGCCCGGCCACCUUCGCCGCCCGCCUGGGCCACUCUAGCCGGCCCCGGGUGCCCGACCAAAUGGCCCCGGGUGCCCGGCCCCUCUAGCGCCUGCCUCCAGCGCCACCCGGGUGCCCGGGCUUUGGACCCCCGGGUGCCCGGCCUCGACCGCCCAGCCCCUGCGUCUACCCCGGGUGCCCGGGCCUUGGACCACCGGGUGCCCGGACCCCUCCGAGAGUGUGUGCGUUUUCAGGGUCAUUUUGGACCUUUGUAUCCCCCUCCCCCUCUAUUUCGUCCCUAGACUAUAAGUACCUCCCACCUAGCUCAUUUAGAGAAAAGCAAAGUAUUUGAUAGACAUUUGUGAGCUUUGCUCCAUGGAUCCACUCCACUAGGAGAUCAAGACCUCCUCUUGGAGUGACCAAACAUCAAGACCUCCUCCUUGGGGAAGGAUCCCUAUCAUAGGAUCAUCAAGCCCUCAUCUCCUUCAUAGGAUUUGGGAUGAACUCUACCAUGUAUCUUAUUUCCCUUUGAUUGUUCAUGUACCUUGUGGAUCUUGUGUGAUUGUUAGUCUAGUGGAUGUGUGAUUUGGACUUGUUCUUGAGUGUUCCUCUUGUUUUCCCUCUUGUUUUCAUCUUGUUCUUGGGGAUUCCCCCUCCAAUUCGUGAAAGAUCUUCACUUAGGGUUCCACCCUACAACAGUUCUGCUCGCCAACGGAAUGACGUCAUCAGCCAUAGGUCGUGUGUGCUUCCAGGGUUGGAGCUCUGCUAGCCACCAGUGCUCCUGUUGCCGCUGUCAUCGGCGGCAAGACCGCCAGGGUUUGAGGUCUCCCCUACCCCCACGCUCACCUCCGGUGGGCCGUUCAGACGCGCCCUUGCAAGCCCGUUGAAGCCACCCAGGCGGAUGCCGGCCUCGUGCCACUUUUCGAGGUGCGGUAGGACGCGCUCCUCGGCACAUUGGCUUCAUCCCCGCCUAGGCCACUUUUCGAGGAGUAGUUGGGGUCAAGAUCUCGACCAUUGGAGGCGUCACGCUACAACGCACCAGCGUAAGGCUACGUCUGGAGCCUGGAGGUCAUGUCAAGGUAACACAAGUGGCAAAGGUUGCCUUGACAUUGUGCAACACUAGAGGGUUUAGUGUUGGCAGCCUCCGUAGCGACUUCAACAAGUAUAAUGAUUGUGAAGGACCGACCGGUGAACGCUUUCGCCGGAUGCAGACUCACGUGCCACACCGCGCUCACGCAUGUGGAGCCAUGUCCCUGUAUGUGUGCCCCUUCCACCGACAAUGCUCAAUCUUAUCCUUUGGACAAGACCUCUUCUUCCUCAAUUCCUCUUCUCAGAGCAGCUCUCUCUCUCCCUCGUGAAAAUCACACCCAGCCUGCUCCCUCCUACUGCUACUANNNNNNNNNNNNNNNNNNNNNNNNNNNNNNNNNNNNNNNNNNNNNNNNNNNNNNNNNNNNNNNNNNNNNNNNNNNNNNNNNNNNNNNNNNNNNNNNNNNNNNNNNNNNNNNNNNNNNNNNNNNNNNNNNNNNNNNNNNNNNNNNNNNNNNNNNNNNNNNNNNNNNNNNNNNNNNNNNNNNNNNNNNNNNNNNNNNNNNNNNNNNNNNNNNNNNNNNNNNNNNNNNNNNNNNNNNNNNNNNNNNNNNNNNNNNNNNNNNNNNNNNNNNNNNNNNNNNNNNNNNNNNNNNNNNNNNNNNNNNNNNNNNNNNNNNNNNAGCAUGGCCUCCGUGAUGCGAUGAUUUUUUUGUUGUUGCUGCAUCUGGUGUUGCUACGGCGGCCCUCGGGGACAACGAUGGGGACCCAUCGGUGAGCAUGGUGCGGCCACACGACACAUGGCUCGAUUGGUGACAAGCCCGACACCCAUCUGUGAUGUGGAAGAUGUGUCUGAGCGCCACAGUGCUACAACAGGCACCCGUAGAUGCAGGAGCGACGACACCCAUUUGCUGGAACCGGCCAUGGAGGCUGCUGGACGGGCGGUGGCAGGUGCUUUAGUUGAUCAUGGCAAAUGUUGGCACCGGUCAUGGCAGAUACUGGAAAUGGCAUUUGUGGAUGCUACAAACGGUCGACGGAGCUGCAAUCAGUGUCGCGUGAUGCAUUUGUGGCAUUUGUGGAUGCUACAAACGGUCGACGAUACUGGAAAUGGCAUUUGUGGCAGAUGCUUUAGAGAUUGUUGGGACAGACGGUGACGGAUGCUGGAACCGGCGGUAGCAGAUGCUACAACCACGGGUCAACGGAGCUGCAAUCAGUGUCGCGUGAUGCUAUGACUGUGGUUCGACGGUGCUAUGAGCUCGACGACAUCUUGUGUUGGGGAUGUUACAACCAUGAGACGGCAAAGCUGCAAUCGAUGCCAUGCGAUGCUAUGACCAUGGCCUGGCGGUGCUCCAAUGUCGACGACGUCCUGCGUCGGGAUGCUACAACCGCAUGCCGGUGGAGCUGCAACCGCGGUCUGACAUAGUUGCAACCCGCGUGCCGGCCGGAGCUGCGAGAGGUAACCGGAUGAGUGUUGUGACCACGAGCGCACGAUGUUGCGUCAAUAGGGAGAAAGUGUAGUGAAAGCCCCCGCAAACGGUGUUCUGCAUGGUCCAACAACGAGGGCAGUGCGGUGACACGGGUGACUGGCGACUGUUGACGGCACGGGUUCUGCAGCGAAAUUCGAGACAAAACAAUUUAACAGCGCAAGGCGGUUUGAUCUAAGGCACACGCAGUGACCGACCAAAAUUUGGGCGAAGUUAGCCCUUCAAAAAGGGCAUGUAGUUUGUCCCCCAGAAACGUGUGGUAAGGCCAUCUCUAGCAAAUCCCGUAAAAGCGGCCAAACCUACAGAUUUACGGUACAUGCUGAAAAAGGGUACCAAAUAGAUUGUGUAAAAUAGCAUAUACCGUAAAAAAAUGCAGGCUCCCGUAUAUUAGAGCUCCCAUCCAUCAUAUAUGGAGGAUCGAGUCGUUUUUCAGGAUCCUGUAAAACCGGUCAAUGCUGGAGCAGGAGGCCUGCGAUGCCACACAUGAGCAGCGAGCAGGCAGCCGGCCGGAGCAUCGCCAGAGCAAGCAACGGGCCGGACGUUGCCGUUUGGGCCGGUCGGAUCGAGUUCGCCCAUACAUGCGUCUCAUGGAAGAAACCUGAUUUAUCUUUUUUGCAGAGAGAUGCUCAAAUGUACAAAUGAGUUGAAAUCUCGAGCAAACCUCACAUAUCAAAUUAUCUACCAUACAAAAAAGGAUUUUUUUUUAAUUCUUCUAUUAUUUGUUUUGAUUUUUUUUCUGAGCGCGGAUGCAGAUGAGGACACCCAUCUGCGAUGUUCCGGUGUGGUAGAAAACGGCGAAACGACCUGCCGCAGGCAGUCAUCGCGCACUUUAUGACCGCCAAUGGUAAGCCGACGAGCCGUUGGGCCAACGUCGAGCCGGGGCGACGACGGGGCGUGUCUUUGCAGGCGAACCGUCGACGGGACAAAUCCGAGCAGCUAGAGUCAAUGCCUGCAUGCGGCGCGGAGGCGUUGCCUGGGUUGUGUAGUUCGAUACCCGACCAAUCCAUGGAAGGCGCAUGCGCCGUCGGCCGGAUGCACCAAAUCCUCCUAUCACAGGUCUACUAGUUGGCCGUCGGCGCCGGUGCGAGAGAAGCACAAAUCCGGUUGUUGUGCUUUUGGACGGCCGGGUUGGACAGAGAGGCGGCAGGGGAAAAUGGGCGGCGGCAAUGACGGCGGAGGGGAAGGAAAAGAAAAAGGUGUAUCUGUGUCCCUGACGGGAGGGCCAGGGAAGAACAAGGGCUCGCGUCCCGUUCGUUCGUGCGUGUCCCUUUCCACACAAACACAGUUUAAAUUUGAAUAAAAAUAAUUUGAAAGUGGACAAAAAAAGAUGUUUGUCCAUUUGCACCCGCACGUUGAGAACAGUUUUAUGUCCGUUUACCAUGUUGGAGUUGGCCUAAGCCUACACCUACGAUGUGUGCUGGUAUAUGCAUGUCGUUCACCAUCCGCCGGCCAGAGUCAUGUACCGCCCCGCCCGUGCACGUUUCGGCCAGGUCACCGAUCCGCGCCAAAGCGCAUCCGGGCCGUCUAACCCAUACAUCGACUGACGGCUGAAACCGCUCCACGGCAUCGAUCCGAGGCAGCAGCGUCUCCACCAACCACAGCCCGCCUCCUCCCUCCUUCCACUUUCCUAUAUAAAUCUCGCCGCCCCCUCCCUUCUCCCCACAUCACAGCAUCUGCAGCCCCCCUCGCCUCCGAUCCACACCCGACCUCCCCACACCCUCGAAUCAUCAUCAGCAGCACCCAUGGCGCCCAAGGCCGCAGAGAAGAAGCCGGUGGAGAAGACCCCGGCGGGCAAGAAGCCCAAGGCGGAGAAGAAGGUGCCGGCGUCCAAGGAGGGCGGAGGCGAGAAGAAGGGGAAGAAGAAGGCCAAGAAGAGCGUGGAGACGUACAAGAUCUACAUCUUCAAGGUGC
rnacentral:lncRNA from 1 species